AUGUGGUGCUUGAAUGGAUCCUGGAGUCGGCCAUUGCUCAAGCACACCACCAAACAGUGCCCUUGCAAAGCAGGCCUCAUCCCUGUCCACCGGGCCCAGCACCUCCCGGGUCUACCUCAUCUCAGACAACCCUGCUACUCUGAAUCCUGAUUUGAAAUCUUGGUGAAGGUGUUUAGACCCCACCUGAGGAGCUGUACAUAACAAAAGCCCUCAAUGCCACUAAACCAAUGGGAGAGGGCAGUGCGGGGGAAGUAAAAAAGCCAUUCUUGUGGCCCCCUCCCGGCUUCCUGGAAGCUGCAGUGUGCCUGAUGGGACAGGCAUGUUCCUGGCUACACUGUAGCUGAGCAAAAGGUCUCUGCAUACAGAAGACCAGGAGACCAUAAGUUCACCAUCAAAGAAAAGUCUGCAGCUGGUAGGUUGAGCCUGAAUAAUAAUACAUGCCACAACUCACUGCUGUUCAACUCAUUCCUCAGCUGGGUUCACUGACUUGUGUACCUCAAAAUGCUAUGUUUUGCUGUCUCUUCCCGUCUAUACUCUGAGAUACUAACUCUUGAAUCCUCCCAGUUAAAUAGGAGUCUUGGAUACUAAACCUGGCCAUUUAGAAAUCACAUCCAUUUAUUUGUUCCUGUAGUCAUUAAUUCAUUCAGAAGCAAGGAUUGGAUGUCUCCCAUCUACC
rnacentral:lncRNA from 1 species